AGGGGAAUAUUGGACAAUGGGCGCAAGCCUGAUCCAGCCAUGCCGCGUGAGUGAUGAAGGCCCUAGGGUUGUAAAGCUCUUUCACCGGUGAAGAUAAUGACGGUAACCGGAGAAGAAGCGCCGGCUAACUUCGUGCCAGCAGCCGCGGUAAUACGAAGGGGGCUAGCGUUGUUCGGAUUUACUGGGCGUAAAGCGCACGUAGGCGGACUUUUAAGUCAGGGGUGAAAUCCCGGGGCUCAACCCCGGAACUGCCUUUGAUACUUGAAGUCUUGAGUAUGGUAGAGGUGAGUGGAAUUCCGAGUGUAGAGGUGAAAUUCGUAGAUAUUCGGAGGAACACCAGUGGCGAAGGCGGCUCACUGGACCAUUACUGACGCUGAGGUGCGAAAGCGUGGGGAGCAAACAGG
rnacentral:rRNA from 1 species